ensembl:misc_RNA
CAACCGCGACUCCAGGGACCAGCGCGCACUUCCCGGCCGUGCGCGCCGGCAGUCACCCCGCGGCCGCGGACAACUGAAUAAACAUACCGAAGGGCAAGGAAGGACUGGGGCCACCA